rnacentral:rRNA from 2 species
AAAGUGUGCCUAGAAAGAA